GGGUUAGCAGGUUGGUCAUGCCACUGGUAUGCACUGGCCUUGCUGAUUCCUCCCUCUUGAUGAGCCGUAAUGCCAUUAAUUUGGUGUUGCGGGGAAUCAGGACUGUUACUUUGAAAAAAUUAGAGUGUUUAAAGCAGGCAUUCGCUUGAAUACAUUAGCAUGGAAUAAUAAAAUAGGACU
rnacentral:rRNA from 1 species